UACGUAGGGGGCAAGCGUUGUCCGGAAUCAUUGGGCGUAAAGAGCGUGUAGGCGGCCAGAUAAGUCCGCUGUGAAAUCUCGAGGCUCAACUUCGAGCUGUCGGUGGAAACUGUCUGGCUAGAGUCCGGAAGAGGGGAAUGGAAUUCCUGGUGUAGCGGUGAAAUGCGCAGAUAUCAGGAAGAACACCCGUGGCUAAGGCGGCUCUCUAGUACGGUACUGACGCUGAGACGCGAAAGCGUGGGGAGCGAACAGG
rnacentral:rRNA from 1 species